GCUGGGCUCAGUGGCACAUGCCUGUAGUCACAGCUACUUGGGAGGCUGAGGUGGGAGGAUCGCUUGAGCCCAGGAGUUCUGGGCUGUAGUACUUUAUGCCAAUCAGGUGUCCCCACUAAGUUUGGCAUCAAUAUGGUGACCUCCCGGGACUGGGGGACCACCAGGUUGCCUAAGGAGGGGUGAACCGGCCCAGGUCAGAAACAGAGCAGGUCAAAACUCCUUUGCUGAUCAACAGUGGGAUCGCACCUGUGAAUAGCCACUGCACUUCAGCCUGGGCAACAUAGCAAGACCCCGUCUCU
rnacentral:SRP_RNA from 1 species